GAGCGCGCUGAGCAGGAUCCUGAGUAGGUCGGGACACGAGGAAUCCCGAUUGAAGCAGCGAGGACCAUCUCGCAAGGCUAAAUACUACAUUGUGACCGAUAGUGAACCAGUACCGUGAGGGAAAGGUGAAAAGAACCCCGGGAGGGGAGUGAAAGAGAACCUGAAACCGUGUGCCUACAAAUAGUCAAAGCCCAUUAAAGGGUGAUGGCGUGCCUUUUGUAGAAUGAACCGGCGAGUUACGUUAGCUAGCGAGGUUAAGUCAGAAAAGACGGAGCCGGAGCGAAAGCGAGUCUGAAGAGGGCGCAGCAGUUAGCUGACGUAGACCCGAAACCAAGUGACCUACCCAUGACCAGGUUGAAGGUGCGGUAAAGCGCACUGGAGGACCGAACCCACGUAAGUUAAAAAUUGCGGGGAUGAGUUGUGGGUAGCGGUGAAAUUCCAAACGAACUUGGAGAUAGCUGGUUCUCUCCGAAAUAGCUUUAGGGCUAGCCUGGUGCCAGGACGAUCAUGGAGGUAGAGCACUGUUUGGACGAAGGGCCCGUCAGGGGUUACUGAAUUCAGAUAAACUGCGAAUUCCAGAGAUCGGGGCACUGGAGUCAGACUGCGAGUGAUAAGAUCCGUAGUCGAAAGGGAAACAGCCCAGAUCACCAGUUAAGGUCCCCAAAUCUAUGCUAAGUGGAAAAGGAUGUGGAGUUGCGUAGACAACUAGGAUGUUGGCUCAGAAGCAGCCAUCAUUAAAAGAGUGCGUAAUAGCUCACUAGUCGAGUGACGCUGCGCCGAAAAUUUACCGGGGCUAAGCAUAGUACCGAAACUGUGGAUGUGCAGUAAUGCACGUGGUAGGAGAGCGUUCUAAAUGCGGCGAAGCUUAACUGUGAAGAUAAGUGGAGCGUUUAGAAGUGAGAAUGCCGGUAUGAGUAGCGCAAGAUAGGUGAGAAUCCUAUCCGCCGAAAGACUAAGGUUUCCUGGGGCAGGCUCGUCCGCCCAGGGUAAGUCGGGACCUAAGGCAAGGCCGAAAGGCGUAGUCGAUGGA
rnacentral:rRNA from 1 species